rnacentral:lncRNA from 1 species
UGGCCCGCGCACGCCGACCGAAAAUCUAGGCAGGCGCCAGCGCGCAGAUCACUCCCGUGGCAAAAUCGUUUCUCGCGACAGGCAGUAGUGGCUGUCUGUAAAAAUGACGUGUCGGGUUUCUGUUUCGAGAGAAAUCUUAAAUUCUGCCACCACAUAAAAACGUGUUGCUCGUCUUGGCUGCCAAGCAAUCAGACCGUACUGGCGUGUUCAGAUCGUUGGCAACGUGUUUCUUCUCGGCUCAGCUUAGUUACAAAAGACAGUGGUACUGAACUUUGGGGCAUGCGCUUUCUGCUUGAAUGGCGUCAUCACACCCAAACGAGCCUUUUGGUCUAAAAAUAAAGGAACUAAAUACGAGUAGUACACGAUAUCUUCACGAUAUUAAUAUGCUGUGAGAACUGAGAAAACAAGCUGUCGCAGUUUGCUAUUGUUCGUGAAGUGGCACGAUAUUUGCAUUGAAGAGGUGAGGUGAGAUGAACGGACAAGCAAACGCAAACUGCCUUCUUCAAGUUGACAUAUCAAUGAUCAGACGGUAGUGAGUGUCAAACAGGGCCAGAGGCCGCAUCGGCCAAUGACUAAUUAUUUCCUCCCAAUGUUGCAGCGAACGAGCUAUUUAAUGUACAACGCAGCCGCAAGCCCUUUCGAUCCGAUCCUGAUUUCACAACAGCCACUUGCAAAGCUGCUUCAGCUGGAACAAGCUCAGACCUUCGAUGGUGGAUCCUGGAAACCGCAAACCAUAUUGGCGGGUACAGCAACGUCGAUCAUCUUUGGGUAAGACAGGUUCAGAUCUGCCCAAGUAGAGAGAAAGGAAACCAUCAACUCAUCUUCCGGCUAAGAAAUUGAUUGAAAUUAGGAGUGGAUCAGUUCGAUCCGGUAAGGGUGAAACUGUCUUUGUGAGCUUGAGUGAACAGUUAAAUCGUUUUUUUAAAUCUGAUUUUAUUAGCAAACAUUUACAAAUGUUUUCACUACUUGUAAAGUUUAAUCCCAAAAUUACAUUUGUGCUUUCAUAAAAAAAAAUACAUUUGUGGAAGACAUGGAAAGAAAACAAAAUCAAUGCUUUUGAAAAUGACACUUUUGGAGCAUCGGUUUUGAUAUUUUGACACGUUUUCCACAAAUGCCAUCCGAUGUUGAAACUUUGCAAGCAAUGAAAACAUUUUUCUAUGUUUGCUACAAAAAUAAUUCAGAUGUUUUUUUUCUUUUUUCCCGACUGUACUAUUCCAUGAUCUCGAGCGCAGUUUAACCGCGUCCAAGGGUAAGGGGGCAUUAUCAGAAACGAACACAGGUAUUCAUGUAUUCGACAGGCAGGUACUUACUUUCCAUGAUCGUCUUGAAAGUUUCCUGCAAGCAGAUCAUGCAAGACAUAGUUAGGAACGAACUGACACCUUUUAUGGGGUAAACAAUAAAGAAUUUUAGCCUAAUUAGCCGGUACCUUAUCUUUUGAUAGUCGGGCAUUAUAAGUAACCUCCUCUUCAACAGUAGUUACCUGCAGAUAGUAUAUUAACUCAAGCAACUAGCAACUUGAAAGCCAAAAUUUAAGAUGCUCAGUAAGCCACUUACCGUGAAACCUUUGUAGUCAUGAGCAGGAUAAAGCAGGGUAUCCUUUGGCAACGUGAAAAUCUGUUAAGGAAUAGAGUUUUCAGUUAGUUUAAUCCAUUGGGCAGUGUGCAUCCAUUUGGUUGGUGCAGAGGCUGGUAGAUCAAUAAAAGUCUUUUUGCAUAAGUUAGUUAUAAAUAGAUGCAUUAUGUUGCAGUUUUGUUUGUAUGACACCAAUACAAGAUUUUCAUGUAGUACUUGCCUGUGAAUGCACUGAUUGGUACAGCUGAUCGGAGCUUCCUCCCUGGAAUAAAAACAAACUAUCAAUACAAAAGAAAUUACCUUUGGCCAUAUCAGAAUUUUCUCUAAAAUUCAAACAUCCAGUGCAAGCUGAACUUAUGUCUGAAUCACAGGCUACUGCUACUAUGGAGCAUAACAGACAAUGAAUUUCAAUGCCUAAAAACUAGUCUUUAGCUCCAAAACACCAUUAAUACUUCUCCAUAUGAAGUGUUUCCUUCAGAUAUAGUUUUCCUGUUUAUUCUAGCUUUUCCAUAAGAUAUGCCUUUCCUGUUUUCCAGAUCAUGAAGAAGUGAGCGUGGUCACAAUAUUACCUGGAAGUCUGUCCUUCCGCAUGCACGUAUAAUUAAGGCAUCCCCAGUGAAAGCCAUCCUUGGUGAGGGUUGACCAUCACUAUCACCUGUUACAUAAGUCAUACAGCCAGCAGUAUGGCCAGGAGUAGCUCGCACCUGGGAAGAAUUUCAAUGUUUCUGCUAUUAGAAAUUUCAUCAUAUCUACAGAUACUAAUAGCUUUGAUCAGCUAGUAUUAUGAGAACAUUGCCCUCCUGAAAGACAAACCACAACAUAAAUGAUUUGACUGCUGCUCUUCCCAGCACUUGAUUGCACAUUUUGCUUAUAAUUUAAAAGCUUUGGAUAUGUCACAUUUUCUACAAACAAAAUGUAAUUCGUUUUUGUAUAAGUUCAACCUAUAAUAUUGCACUCUCUUCUAAUUUUUACUGCAGGUAGAACAGUAGAUCGUCUUGCUCGUAUAAGAAAAUGGCAUAGUUAAAUAAUGAAUUCUGUAAGAUGAAACCCUGUGAGAUCAAGCUGCACUAUCUUAGUCUCAACCUUGUUUGUUUAGUUUGGCUCCUUAGUUUUCAUACUUUGGCACUCCCUCUGUAACUUAAUGUAAGACGUUUUUGCAGUUUAUAGAGAUAGUAGUUUUUGUGGCCAGCUUCGCUGUUUUUUUAGGUCAUUUAGGAUGUGAUUUUUGUAAGCAUGGUGACCUUUGCAAGGAGCUUCUUAAAGACAAACAAGCAGAAGAACUCAGUGUUUUCUGUAGUUCAGAUUAGCUGUUUACACUGGAGACACCGGUGCUAGUAUUGCGGCAUACAGAAGCUGUAAUUUAUAGCACAUCCUAACUACUAGAUGAAAGAAGGAGGCGAAACAAAAUAGCAUAUUAAAAUGGUUCUCUACCUCAAGGAAAAGCUUCCCAAAGUAUAUUUUGUCCCCGUGCUCAACAGAAUGGUCGGCUUUUGCUCCACUAGCUUUUGAAAUAACAGACUUGGCUCCUGGUAGCUUAGUCUGCCAGUACAUUCCAUCAGCUGAGCAUGUAUUACCAAAGAAAACAAAAUGUUGAAACUGCUAGAGAAGUUGAAUAAAACAUCUGGAGAAGUCCAGAAGUGCUUACUUUUAUUAGUCCUGUUCCAGUGACGUGAUCAGCAUGCACAUGAGUAUUCAUCGCAUAGAUGAGUUUCAAGCCUAAUUCCUUGAUAAGGUUGAGAUCUCUAUCAACUGUUCUGUCAACAGGGUCAAUCAACUGGUGGCAAAAUACAAAGUCAGGGAGGAGAUUGAA